UUGUACGCUUUGACGACUUCGUUGGCUUGUUGUGCCAGCAUUCGCGCUUCGUUUCGUUCGUCAUUGACGUCGGUCAUUUCUUUCGCCCAUUCACGUGUAAAUUGUACGAGCGCCGCGUCCACGUGACUACGUUUGUCGUAACCUAACAGUGACUUGGAUGGGGAACACUUAAUGGACGCAUGGAAACGGUUCGUGCGUUCAACCAUGCCAUUCGCCCAUGGCGAUGCUACUGCUACUUUACGAUGCUUAAUACGCUGUUCGUCAAUAAAUUCUUUAAACUCGGUUGAUGUAAAAGCCGUUCCUCGAUCGCUGACUACUUCGAUUGGAUUCCCGAAUGUACAAAAAAUAGAACGUAGGCGUUCGAUCACUUCUUUCGAUCCGGUGGAUCGAGUGGGAAAAAGCCACGUGAAUCUUGUGAACGCAUCUACUACUACUAAAAUAUGUUUAUUACCCUGCUUUGUCGACGCUAACGGCCCGAAGUGGUCAAUGUGCAAGACUUCCAUUGGAUUCCGCGAUACUGUUUCUACAUGCAGUUCCCCUUCUUUAUUACGUGUGUCCCAUUUGAUCAUGAUAGAUCCUAAUCACAUUUACCGUCAUCGUCUGUGGUAUCACGAAUUUUAGUCUUUCAUCCUGUUUCCUAUACAACAAUCCGUCUACCAACGCGAACUUGGGAUCAUCCUCGAACUCUAACCGUCUACAAAUCGUUUGAAGCUGGGGAUCGGCCAGCUGUCUAAACUCUAGCUCUCUUUCUAAUGGUAUUUCAUCUACAUACCCUGCAUUUCGACUCAAGGCAUCUACGUGAGCCAUCUUUUUACCCGACCGCAUAUACCAAGGCAUUACAAUCGGUGACUACAGUGAAACUUUUUCCGUAUACAUAAACAUGGAACCGUUCAACCGCUCUAACCACCGCUAACAUUUCAAGCUCGAAACUAUGAUACUUGGCCUCAGCCUGAUUCGUCGUCUUGCUGUAAAAAGCAAUGGGUGCCCACACCCCGUCUUUUUGUCGCUGUAAUAAUAUCGCGCCCAGCCCUUGGAUGCAAGCAUCGGUAUGGAUCUCCGUUUCCGCCGCUGGAUCAUACAAACGCAGAGUGGGAAACGAUGUAAGCUCUGUUCUUAAAGUAUUAAAGGCUUCCCGACAAGGUGAACUGAAAUCAAAUACUGCGCCUUUCUUUAGUAGGUCUUGUAGAGGCCUAGCUUUUAACGCGAAAUCUUUUAUAAAUCGUCGGAAGUACCCGGUUAAUCCUAAAAACUGUUGUACCUGAUGCGUUGAUCGCGGUUCUCUAAACCUUGUGAUUGCCUCGACAUGUCGUUGAUUCAAGGUAAUACCGUUCGCUUUCACAAUGUAACCCAAAAAUUCGAUUUCUUUUCGCAAAAAUAAGCACUUAUCGUGGUUAAGCUCGAAUUUAUAUUGUUUUAAAAUAAUUAACACUUCUCCAAUUACUUCCAAGUGUUCGGCUAUGUUAUCGGAUGCGAUCAAAAUAUCGUCUACAUAUACAAUAAUCUUUCCGUCAUUAAUUAACGGUCUCAGGAUCUGCAAUAACCUUUUUUGAAAUUCGGCCGGUGCUUCGCUAUAGCCAAAGGGUAAUCUUUUAUAUUCAUACUGGCCAUCUGGUGUGCCAAAAGCAAAGUAUUUUGUGUCGCGCUCAUCGAUUUUUAUAUGAUGGAAACCGUCUUUUAUAUCCAACAAUGUAAAUAUGGAUUUAUUCGCCAACCUUGCUAAGCAAUCUUCGAUUAGCGUAUUAUAGAAAGUGUAUUUUUGUUUUUCUACACGACUAUUUAAAGGUCGUAGAUCGACACAUAACCGCAUGCUACCGUUUCUCUUUUUCACCGGUACAAUCCUAGCACAAUAAGGCGAUAUGCUUGGUUUUAUAAUGUCCCGCGCUAAUAGAUCGUUAAUAAUAUUUUUGAUUUCGUCGCGCUCAGCGAACGCAAACCGACGCGGGGCAUACGCGUAUAUCGACUUAUCUUUCAAGGGUACACGUAUCGCGUGCCCGUCGUCGAUUGCCUCGAUCUCUUUAUUGUUCAUCGAUACCAAUAGAUCUAACAACAUUUCUUUUGUCUGCCUAUUAUAAUCUAUUUUGAUAUCGUCUAGUCUAUCGUUAACUGUUUUAUUUAUGCCUUCCUCGAUACACAAAGGCAAUUGUUCGAACAGACAAACUCGCUCUACUUUUUCACUUCGCGGUCUGAAGACAAAAGAGAUUCUUUCUUUAUAUAGAAAAUCGCGUCCUAAUAUUAUUUCUCCUUGGAAAGAUUGUCUCGAUAACACAAAGAGAUCGACAUUAUAUUGUAAGUUUUUUGUCGGCUGGAGUUUUAGCUGUACUUGCGUUGAUCCUAAAAUAGCUAACGGCUGCGCGUUUAAAUUAUAUAAUUUUGUUCCGACCGGUUUUAACGUCGGUAUCGUCGGCUGUAUGUACAUUUUGUAUAAUUUUUCGUUAAUAAACGAUACUGGACUGCCUGUAUC